GGAGCUGCGGGUUCGAGCCCCG
rnacentral:tRNA from 1 species